UCUUCGGAAAGACACUAAGCGGAUUAGUGGCGAACGGGUGAGUAACGCGUGAGUAACCUGCCUUACACAAGGGGAUAGCCUUUGGAAACGAAGAAUAAUACCCUAUAAAACCAUAAAAGCACAUGCUAGAAUGGUCAAAGUGAUAGCGGUGUAAGAUGGACUUGCGUCUGAUUAGCUAGUUGGUGAGAUAAAAGCUCACCAAGGCAACGAUCAGUAGCCGGCUUGAGAGAGUGUACGGCCACAUUGGGACUGAGACACGGCCCAGACUCC
rnacentral:rRNA from 1 species